AGACCAUGACGCAGGCAUUUCCAUAAUAACUCCUUGAACUUUUCACAUGUUUCGUACAAAGAUUCCCCAUCGUCUUGAGAGUAUGAAUUAAUUUCGGUCAUGAGUUU
rfam:Helianthus annuus linkage group 16, whole genome shotgun sequence.